rnacentral:rRNA from 3 species
UUUAUGGAGAGUUUGAUCCUGGCUCAGGAUGAACGCUGGCGGCGUGCCUAAUACAUGCAAGUCGAGCGAACAGACAAGG